rnacentral:rRNA from 1 species
UUACGGUCAAAUCACGCUGAAACACCGGUUCUCGUACGAUCACCGAAGUUAAGCAGCGUAGAGCCAGGUCAGUACUUAGAUGGGGGAGCGCUUGGGAACACCUGGUACUGUAAG